rnacentral:lncRNA from 1 species
UUGGGAAAACUAAAUAACCUGGUAAAAGAGUGGAUACGAGAAAUCAGUGAAAGCAAGAAUCUUCCACAAUCUGUAAUUGAAAAUGUUGGAGGAAAAAUUUUUACAUUUGGAUCUUACAGAUUAGGAGUGCAUACAAAAGGCUGUUGAAGAGGCAUUCGUACCAGUUAUUAAACUCUGUUUUGAUGGGAUAGAGAUUGAUAUUUUGUUUGCAAGAUUAGCACUGCAGACAAUUCCUGAAGAUUUGGAUCUACGAGAUGACAGUCUGCUAAAAAAUUUAGAUAUAAGAUGUAUAAGAAGUCUUAACGGUAUGAGAAAGCCUACUUCCUUUUGUGUACUUCAGUUUUUGUCAGAUAUUAGUUGUUUUUACACAAGUUUUGUAUUGAAGCUUUUUAUAGCUAUAUUGUUAACACAGUAGUGAGUUAAAUAAAAUGAACUUUGCCUAAUAAACUA